rnacentral:rRNA from 1 species
GAUGAACGCUGGCGGCGUGCCUAAUACAUGCAAGUCGAGCGAACGGACGAGAAGCUUGCUUCUCUGAUGUUAGCGGCGGACGGGUGAGUAACACGUGGAUAACCUACCUAUAAGACUGGGAUAACUUCGGGAAACCGUAGCUAAUACCGGAUAAUAUUUUGAACCGCAUGGUUCAAAAGUGAAAGACGGUCUUGCUGUCACUUAUAGAUGGAUCCGCGCUGCAUUAGCUAGUUGGUAAGGUAACGGCUUACCAAGGCAACGAUGCAUAGCCGACCUGAGAGGGUGAUCGGCCACACUGGAACUGAGACACGGUCCAGACUCCUACGGGAGGCAGCAGUAGGGAAUCUUCCGCAAUGGGCGAAAGCCUGACGGAGCAACGCCGCGUGAGUGAUGAAGGUCUUCGGAUCGUAAAACUCUGUUAUUAGGGAAGAACAUAUGUGUAAGUAACUGUGCACAUCUUGACGGUACCUAAUCAGAAAGCCACGGCUAACUACGUGCCAGCAGCCGCAGUAAUACGUAGGUGGCAAGCGUUAUCCGGAAUUAUUGGGCGUAAAGCGCGCGUAGGCGGUUUUUUAAGUCUGAUGUGAAAGCCCACGGCUCAACCGUGGAGGGUCAUUGGAAACUGGAAAACUUGAGUGCAGAAGAGGAAAGUGGAAUUCCAUGUGUAGCGGUGAAAUGCGCAGAGAUAUGGAGGAACACCAGUGGCGAAGGCGACUUUCUGGUCUGUAACUGACGCUGAUGUGCGAAAGCGUGGGGAUCAAACAGGAUUAGAUACCCUGGUAGUCCACGCCGUAAACGAUGAGUGCUAAGUGUUAGGGGGUUUCCGCCCCUUAGUGCUGCAGCUAACGCAUUAAGCACUCCGCCUGGGGAGUACGACCGCAAGGUUGAAACUCAAAGGAAUUGACGGGGACCCGCACAAGCGGUGGAGCAUGUGGUUUAAUUCGAAGCAACGCGAAGAACCUUACCAAAUCUUGACAUCCUUUGACAACUCUAGAGAUAGAGCCUUCCCCUUCGGGGGACAAAGUGACAGGUGGUGCAUGGUUGUCGUCAGCUCGUGUCGUGAGAUGUUGGGUUAAGUCCCGCAACGAGCGCAACCCUUAAGCUUAGUUGCCAUCAUUAAGUUGGGCACUCUAAGUUGACUGCCGGUGACAAACCGGAGGAAGGUGGGGAUGACGUCAAAUCAUCAUGCCCCUUAUGAUUUGGGCUACACACGUGCUACAAUGGACAAUACAAAGGGCAGCGAAACCGCGAGGUCAAGCAAAUCCCAUAAAGUUGUUCUCAGUUCGGAUUGUAGUCUGCAACUCGACUACAUGAAGCUGGAAUCGCUAGUAAUCGUAGAUCAGCAUGCUACGGUGAAUACGUUCCCGGGUCU